GACGAACGCUGUCGGCGUGCUUAACACAUGCAAGUCGAACGGAAAGGCCCUGCUUUUGUGGGGUGCUCGAGUGGCGAACGGGUGAGUAACACGUGAGUAACCUGCCCUUGACUUUGGGAUAACUUCAGGAAACUGGGGCUAAUACCGGAUAGGAGCUCCUGCUGCAUGGUGGGGGUUGGAAAGUUUCGGCGGUUGGGGAUGGACUCGCGGCUUAUCAGCUUGUUGGUGGGGUAGUGGCUUACCAAGGCUUUGACGGGUAGCCGGCCUGAGAGGGUGACCGGCCACAUUGGGACUGAGAUACGGCCCAGACUCCUACGGGAGGCAGCAGUGGGGAAUAUUGCACAAUGGGCGGAAGCCUGAUGCAGCAACGCCGCGUGCGGGAUGACGGCCUUCGGGUUGUAAACCGCUUUCGCCUGUGACGAAGCGUGAGUGACGGUAAUGGGUAAUGAAGCACCGGCUAACUACGUG
rnacentral:rRNA from 1 species